rnacentral:rRNA from 1 species
UACGUAGGGAGCGAGCGUUAUCCGGAAUUAUUGGGUGUAAAGGGUGCGUAGACGGGAAAGCAAGUUAGUUGUGAAGUCCCUCGGCUUAACUGAGGAACUGCAACUAAAACUACUUUUCUUGAGUGCAGGAGAGGUAAGUGGAAUUCCUAGUGUAGCGGUGAAAUGCGUAGAUAUUAGGAGGAACACCAGUGGCGAAGGCGACUUACUGGACUGUAACUGACGUUGAGGCACGAAAGUGUGGGGAGCAAACAGG